rnacentral:rRNA from 1 species
UACGUAGGUGGCGAGCGUUGUCCGGAUUUACUGGGCGUAAAGAGCGCGCAGGCGGUCGUUCAAGUCGCGUGUGAAAGCCCCCGGCUCAACUGGGGAGGGUCACGCGAUACUGAUCGACUCGAAGGCAGGAGAGGGUAGUGGAAUUCCCGGUGUAGUGGUGAAAUGCGUAGAUAUCGGGAGGAACACCAGUGGCGAAGGCGGCUCUCUGGGACGGUACUGACGCUGAGACGCGAAAGCGUGGGGAGCGAACAGG